ensembl:lncRNA
UCACUGACCUCUGUGGGAUACACAUAAUUCAUUGAAUGUUAAUGCUGCACUAUAAUUCAGGAAUCCUUAAAGAAGCCACAGCCACGUCAAAAUAGCCACCAAAGCAGGGUGAGUCUCACUCUUCUGUGAGCAAAAGAUAUCACUUAAAUGCUAGAACAGAACUCCACAUUUUACCCCAAUGGGGAAGCUUUAUCCUAGAGGAGAAAAUGGAAGUUACCCAUCAUUGCCCACAGCUGACUGAAUAAAGACCACAAGUGAGUCCUGAAAAGCUAUAUGGGAGGUGGCAAAUAGCUCUAGGGCUAUUGAUGUGAAAUGGAAAAUUGCUAAUUCUGAGAUUCCUAGGUCUUUAUCUUGUUACCAAUUAUGUCUAAUUCAUUUAAGUAGUAUCUAUGACAUAUUUCUGAAUAAAUCCUGUGACUCUUUAUUUCCAAAUGUGUAUGUGCAUCUCUUUUCAUAUAUAUAAUUUAUGUUUUUGCUAUAAUUUCUUCAUUUUCACAUUGUAAUAUUAAAAAUAUCUUCAGAUAGUAUAGUUUAACUUCUUUACUCUUUUCCCCAUUGUCUUUUCUUGAAAUAUGUACUUGAACAGAUUUUCCAAUGCAUCUUGUGAACCUUUUGAAGUUUAUUUAUUAAUGAGUACAACAUCCUUGGCACCCUGUGGAUCCCAAAACUAUACCUGAAGAAAAUAGAAGCUGAGUAUUGGAGAUGAAGUCUGGAAGGAAGCGUUUGGCUCAUGGUGGCAGAUUUCUCAUAUAUACAUUAAUCACUGGGGACUGCAGUGGCACCAUCAUAGCUCACCGUAACAUGGAACUACUGGGCUCAAGUGAUCCUCCUACUUCAGCUUCUUGAGCAACUGGGACUACAGAUUGCCGGUUUAAUAGGGCAUCCAGACCAGUGCACCUUGUGCAGAGUGCCGCUGCGCUGCGCCGGCUGCAACGGCAGUGCCGGCCAGCCGGCCAAAACAACCGCGGCGGUGCUCCGUGUCUCUCCUCCACCUGGGAAUCCCCUCGUUCUGUGGGCAACAAAGAUUCGUCUGAAAAUGCGGCUUGAACUCACCCUCUGAGCCUUCACUGAGAUCCGCAACCGCGAGCCACUGCAACCCCGAGCUGUUCCUUCCCUUCCAUCUUGAAGACCGAGAUCGGGUGUAGUCUUCUAUAAGUGUUAAGUAGGUCAGAAUUUCUAAAUUUUAUUUUUAAUCUUCAGUAUCCUUUCUUAAUUUUUUCUCUGAUUUUGUUAGUGCCUUAUCAGUGACUGAGAAGAGUGUGCCAAGAUUCCCUUAAUGACAGAAUAUUUGUAUUUUACUCUUUUUAUCGUUGUCAAUAUUUGUGAUACAUGUUUUUAGUCUAUGUUAUUAAAGGAAAAACGUAGUUCUAUAUAAUUCAAGAAGUUGAUGCUUUUAAAAUAACAAAGCAUCCCUCUUUCUAUCAACUUUCUCCUUAAACAUCAU